rnacentral:lncRNA from 1 species
UUGUUACAGAGUAGUUAAAUUCAGAUUUUGAGAAUUUAUAUUCAUAUUACCAUAUACAAUGUAUUCUGAAAAUUCCCCAAAACAUCUGAAAUAUGAUAUCUGCAUUAUUUGUUUGUUCCUCUGAGAAAUUGACCGUCAAGAAAGAAUUCCAUAUUAUGUUUUUCCUGUUGGGCUGUUACUAAGUUGUGGAUUAUCACAAGCAACAACACAAGUGAAAGAAAAUCUAUCCCCAUCGAUAGGCUCAAAAAUUUGGAUUAAGAAAUCUCAUAUGUCAAGGAGAACGCUAAAGGAAACCAAGUUCUCAAUAGCGACCCCAGGAAUAACAUAUUUAUCUCAUCAAAGAUUUGUAAGCCUGUCUUCUCAAACCAUCUCUUUUGUAACUAAGGAUCCUCCAAAACCUUCUAGAGAACAAUGCUCUACAUAUUCAACAUGAUGAGCAAGUAAACAAAAUGAAAGUCACUUGUUGGAAACCCUGAGGAUUUGCAAAAAAAUAAAAUAAAACAAAAUAAAGAGGAAGAUACCAUCCAAGAAUCGCACAUCAGUACGUAAAUCCAGAGGCAUAAUCAAGGGACAUAAAACCCAAGAGUGAAAAAAUGGACCAUGUCCCUAAUAUGGAUAAUGAGGUCUUUGGAGAAGCAAUCAUGGUUAAAGGACACAAUCUAUGUGAAAGGAAAAGAAGCAAUGGAUGGUUCAAGGGUUAAAUGUUGUUAUACUUAGAGAAGAGGGAAGCAAAAUAAUUGUAAUCCUACCUUGUCCAGGAAUUUAACAAUGACAAAGACAUAAUUCAGGCAUAUAGUGAUAAGGUAAUAUAGGUGUGCUUGUUUCCUUAUAAUUUAGGGGCCCAAAUUCAAGUUCCCUCCAAGUGGACACUUAUGAUUGUUUCUUCUUUCCUAUAACUCAGACUGAACUUCGGAACUCAAGUUCUCAAUUUCCUGAAACAAGGACGAACUUGACUUUGAAGGGGCAAGUGCUGGGGCACCUAGAAGUCAAGUUUUGAGAGAGCAGCAAAGCAUUCAAAGCUACUUUAACACUCUCCCACACGCUCCCUCCUUCAAAACAAGCCAUAUAAGCAAUAUUUAAGUGAUUAUGAUUACUAUUAUUGCUUAUUCAAUAACUGCUUUAUUGUCUAAAAGUUGCACGUUUCUAUGCACCAAGUUCCUGCGAACCAAAUAGAACAACUCAAGUUCUCAAAAGUAAAGUUCCCCCACCUUUAACACUUGCAUAGAAACAACCAUACUAUAAGCAAAUUAUUAAAGAUAACUAAUUAUUUAUUCAAUUUAAUAUCUUAAUAAUAUUUAUUUAAUUUAUAUUGAUAUUUAAUGCAAAUUUAAAGUAAUGGAUUUAGUGGAACUGUAUCUGAAUCAGGCCUGACAAUAACUUGGGCCACCAAGUUAGUAUUGAUCCCAAAUAUUGAUCGAAUUCAAAUGAUAAGUAGGUCACAAGUUUACUAAAACUGGAUCCAGCCAAAAAAAUCUAGCUAAAAAUACUCUGAAUUAGCUCAUAAUAAUGGUUACAAUAUAAACUUGCCCUGAAGCCAUUAGGAAAAUGGUUUGGGAAUAAGCGCAAAUCCUAGAUUUGAUAUUAGAUAAAGUUCUGUUAACCUAAACAUGUUAUAAUUCAUUACCAAAUAACAUUCCCACAGGCAAUGCACUACUUGCUUCCUUGUCAAGCAGCCGUGUUUUAAAGCUCUAAGGUGUGAUCUUGUACGGCUAAUAUCAUGACUUCUUCACCACCACAUGUAAAUGACAUCAAUAUGUAUUGGGACAUCAUUGCAUUCAUUGUAUUGUUAGCAAAAUUUGACGCAGAGAGAGAAAAAAGAUCUACAUUGCCAACUGAGUACAUGUAGCACACCUUUUUUUAAAUUUGGCAUGCUUAUGUUGUUAUAUAAAGAACUGUGUUCCAUUUCCUUCUCUUAACCAAAUAGCGAAAAUAUCCAAAAUCUGAAUUUUCUUCCAUGUACCACCAAUUUAAAAGAAACAUCGCUCAUCAUUCAAUUUAUCAUAUUUUUGUUUCCAAAAUUGUUCCAAAGCAAAAGCAUGCCAUGUUCUAUCUACCAAUCUUUCUGUUAUGCAGCAAGAGACUCUAGUACACAGAAUCCUAGAUGAUUGUUGCCUGUGAUUGAUCAAUGUGAAGUCCC